AAAUAUUGAAUUAACCAAAAGGCUGAGAGAACUGGAAUAUGUUAUAGAAUUGAUUUGCAAGCAAUUCUCAAUGUCAACAAAAAAUCUACAAACUACACGCAGAACAUCUAUAGACUACACAAAAUAGAUCUUGCAUUUGCAUCAGGUCAGAUUUCAACAAGAUUUCAGCAAUAAAAUAUUAGCAUUCAUCAGUAUAGAAUUACACAAAGGUGAAGGAUAUGAACCUCAAAGUGGACCUCCAAUAGAAAUGGAACGAGCCAUUGGUGACCAAAAUAGUGGUCGAGAGCCUCGACGAAACUACGACCUAUAUCCUUAAGCUCGUCGGAACGCGACAACAUUCAACGACGGACCUCGUAUCGGCAUCUUGGAUUCGCAGAUGGACAGCUUGAACGAACCUAUAUCGAGACUACUGUUACAUCAACUUUUAGAAUGCCACUCAUCACCUCCCUUUUAUUCCCGAUCUCUCAAUGCUAUUGUCCUCCCGUUGCGCCUGUGUGCGUGUGUGUUUUGUGGGUCGCGACUGAAGCAAGGUCGCUGGGUUCGAGCGUGCUGCCUUAGGGUGGAUGAAAUGAGUGUGGUGUUAGGUCUUAUAAAAGGUGAAGGAGCUGAAGGUCAUGGGUUUUCUUGUGUGCUUGCUGGUUGGGUUUUUGAAGAAGAGAGCUCAAGGUUCUUCUGUAGCCGAAGCUUUUCCCAAAUUAGAAAUGGAUGUGUGCCUUAAGUCUUAGGAUCUGUCAUUUUUGUUAAAGAAGAAGAAGGGUCUCGUUUAUGAUUUGCAUUGAUUCUUCUGUCUUAGGGGCUUUUGGUUCGUUUUUUGUUCGUUGCUUCUUCUAAUUUGUCAAAAAGACGAUGACAGGGGUAGUCGUGUAUUGUUCAGCAGCUGAAAGGUUGAAGAAGACGGUUCAGGGGUCGUUCUUGGAGUUCAGCGGCACUCACUCUUAGCCUUAGGGGUCUAUUUUUGUGUUUUUUAGCUCUUUUUCAAGCAUUCC
rnacentral:lncRNA from 1 species